GGCUGUGCUGUGAGGACAGGGCCACGCGUGCUCGGGAGCGAGGGCUGCUUGCGGGCAGCCUGAUCCCAUCGCCGUGUCCUGCCUAGGAAGCUCUACGGACGUGCUUUGGUGCCUGAUCUCAUUAAUGGGUGAGAGAGAGGCUUCUUCGCAGUUCCUGUCUCCUGGAGCAGAUUUCAGCCUUUGAAUUAAGCACCAGUUCACUCUCGGUGCUACAGGGGAUAAAGAGAAUAUUCCAGUCCCUGCAUCCAUCACAGCUGCUCUGCCAAGCAAAGUUAACAAGUAAACAGUAAUCGCCCACAAUUAUUGCCCAUUACAUGCUCUCUUCACCUGAGAUCACACAACAAAGCGUGAGCGUGGAGCCACGGGAGGAGCUGGGUGGCAAGGAGCUGUCAAGAUGAAAUAACAGCAAAAAGACCUGUCAAACGCUGCCUCUGUGAAAGACCUAAAUCCUCUCCUGAUGGCCCCUUGGUGCAGUGUAGAAGAGCUACUUCUGUGUAAUUAUAAAUUGUCUGCAGGGCUUAUCUGAGAGGUUCAGGGUUGACAUUACAAUAAUAGGGUGGGUGAGCUUUAUUUAAGGGAUAAUGUUCCUGGCGGUGGUGUAUACAUGGCAAUAAAUGAGUGUGGCGAAUGAUUAACGGCAGCAGGAAGCCUGCAUGGCCCCUACUGCGUGGCCAGGGGAGGAGAGCCGGGCAGGUCCUUGUGUGCAGGGCAGUCCUGUGGGUCCCCAUGCGUCAGCCCACGCAUGGCACAGGGCCCACGUGUGAACUGGGACUGUGUGUCACUCAGGGCUCUGUGCUGGGGGGCUGUGAUGGGUGCACGCCGGAGGUGCAUGCAGGAUGGGCCGGGCCGUAUCCAGAGUGGGGAGAGGCAGGAUUUGUGUCCCCUCACUCUGAACGUGGGCCAGUGCAGUGCCUCCAUGAAAGCUGUCUGCCCGGGCUCUUUUUAUAGCAGCAGAGAGGGAAGGGCAGUUUGACGGUGUGGUACACCUGACCUACUUUAUAUGCUUACCUUAGGGUGAAUGGAACUGUUCUCAGAAUUGCAUUUUCUCUCUAUCUUCUAUAUAGAGAAGAAAGUAAGCUCAGAUGUGGACCUGUAAGCCAGGAAGGGUUGAUCCCGCUGGAAAUACAUUGCUUCCUUCAGCCAGCGGGUUUUUUUUUGUUUUUUUUGUUUUUUUUAGCAUGCUCCUCUCAUUCUACUGCAUCUUAAGAAUGAAUUUGCUACAUUGUUUUCAUAGAAGUGUUAGUUAAAAAGAGAGUGCAGAAAGAGAGCUUUGCACCUGAGCCAUACCUGACGUCCUGCCAGGCGAGGCUCCUCCCCUGCUCCCAUCCUGCAGACGGGGGCAGUAAUGCUGGGGAUGGAGGGGCUGCUGUGAGUCCCGCUGCUUGCAGGGAAGCUGUGCACGGCAGUUGGUGUGCCUGUGAUGGUGGGCAUCAAGGGGCUGCCCACCAGCCCUUUGUUGGAGAGCCCCACGGCGUGAGUGCUGCGCGUCCUGGCACUGAAGCCAAGCCUGAAGUCUGGCACUUCGUGUUGGAGGAAGAAAAUGGACCGUGGAUGCACGGUGUCCGGCUCAAACGUGUCCAAAGCCGAAACGGGAGGCAGCUGUGAUGUUAUUGCAGCGGAACGUCGUGGGAGGGCAGCUCUGCUCAGGGCAGCAGCCCUGCUCUCUUCACGCCGGGUUGCAGCGAAUUGCAGGGCUGCAUUACUCUUCCAAGGGGAGGGAGCACAUCCCUGCUCCUGAGUGCAGGCAGCGCCCGGCCGGAUGGGUUUCCUGCAGGGGAGGCGGACUCCCCAACUGCCCCCGGUGAUGGGAAAGCAGUAGAAAGGCGACGUGAGCUCCGAUCCCGUUACCAAUCAAAGACACUGAUUGAGACUGGGGGAGCUGCCGGGCUGGUCCCACUCGGGAGAGUUAGUGGUGAUAUUAACUGGAGGAAAUUCUACAGAGUCGUGGUUGCCAUGAGAUUAAAUCUGGUGAAGCUGUUGGUAAUAACCAAGCUCCUGCCCGUCCCCCUGCCACAGGACAAACCAUGUACGAGAUUGUUCUCCCAUGGAGCUCAUGAAGAACAUCUGGAUGAGAGAGAAAACGAAGCCUGUCCAAAGAACACAGUGAACCAAGGGAGGGGAACUGCCUCUCCCCCGGAGCUGUGGAACGCUCCCAGUUCACAUUGGUGUCUUUUACAGCCCCUUUGGAUUUUGCUGCAUCACAUGAACGGUGCUUACACAGAUGGUAAAAAUAUGUUUUUCUGAAGGCAUAGUAAAUGUCUGUGAUAGACAUGAUACCAGGCUGUCAUCGGCACAAGUGUAUCUGUGCAUUGUUUCCCUGUUUUUCUGGGCUUCCGGACAAGUGCCACUACAACCACCAAUUUUCCUGUCUUUUUUUCCUUUGCUUGUACAAGAUUCUCAAUACAAACCCCUUCCUUCUCAGUGGGAACAGAAUGCACUGCUGGGCAGAGAAUUAAAGCAAACGUGGUUUUGGAUCCAUCUGGGUGAAAUAGGGAAAAUUUUUCUGUUAGAUGUCAAUCCAACCAGUGCCAGCUGAGCUCCCUGCCUUUCCCCUCCCCGCUCCUCCUUGGGGCCAUGGCUGUGGCCCCCGGCCCUGGGGGAGAGCAGCAGCACUCAGGACCUGCAGUGCAGGGUGAGACUGAGCCAAUGCUGGCUGUGUGACCCCGUGUGCCCGCCCGCAGCCCGAUGGAAGUGUUGGUGGCAUCCGCGUGGCAUUGGUGCACACUCUUCCAUGGGUGAGUUGUACCCAGUCCAUGGGGAUCAGUGCUUGCUGCCAUGCCUGUGAAUUCUGGAGCCCAGUGGGGCUGGCAGCGCUCCCCAGCAGGCAGCGGGGCAGCAGAGGUGUGAGGCAGCAGGAGAGGAUGAGGUGCCCGGGCUGACAUGGCCAUCCACUGGGAUGCAGGUGCAUUGGCAGAGCAGUUGGGAACCCCACGUGUUGCCUGGCUGCUUCUGUCUAGCGCUGUUAUGCCCUGCUAAGAGCACUAAAUUUGUUUGCAUAUCUGCAAGGGAACAAAAGAUCCUCCUUUAAAGUAAAAAUGCCAUUCACAAGUUCUGUACUACUUAUUCUGCUUGAACCUACUUUAAAAAAAGUGACCUUUAAGCAUUUUGUUCGCUCACUCUGAUGUUAGAUACAGUUCUCUCCAAUAAAUCUCAUUUUAGCUGUUGCUUUAAAUUAAGCAAAUUCUACACCUCCAGGGCUGCCAACAACAGCCACAUCUUCCAGAGAUUUCCUCAACUGGUGUUCCUCUUUAAUUGAUUUCAAAUUGUUUAAAAGUAAUUAUCAGUAAUGGAGCUGUGGUCCAUGUAAACACCAUCUCUGCAAGCAGGUACUGCUUUUCCCACUGAAUCCAGAAACAUGAAGGCUCUGCAAGAAGUAUUCCCUGCACUGCUUCUUAGAGAUGGAGAUGUACACUGCUGAAAACACACGGGACACAGCUCAUCUGGCUCCUGUAACUGCAAAGGGGCAAACAUGAAAUAUAUUGUGCCAGUGCUGACACAGUGCUAUGGCACUUGGUCUGAAGCACUAAACUUGGAAAGACACUCAAGAGAGAAUCCCACCACGGCCAAAACCAAAUGAAAAACAUGGGUUUGUGUAAGAAGAGACUGGGGAGGCUGUGGCUGAAGAGGGCUGCAGUCCAUAGUUGGGGUUCCUGUGAGCUCACUGGGGUUCUCUCAGAUCUUCAGAUGAUUGCUGUUAUUAUCGCUCCUGUCCAUCCCUCUGGCAGCACAGCAGCAGUGAGAAGCUUAUCAGCUCUGACUAUAAGGUGCUCGGGGCAGCCCUCCAUCACCAGGAUCCCAGCUGCUGACAUUAUCCUCUUUGCUGGGCUGAUGUAAUUAUGCCCACAUCUGUUGAUAAAAGCGUGGUGAUGAUCAGCAUAGAAAGACCUGGAGGUUAACUGGAGCUGAGCUGCAGGGACGCUCGGCUGUCACCUUGCCUGGAGCAGCAGGACACUGGGAGAAGGAACCUGCUGCUCCUGGGGAAGGACGGGGCAGGAGGAGCUCUCCUGAUAGCCGUGUGCUGGAGCCCUCCUGCUGGGUUCCAAUAGCUGGGGAGGGCCCUCCAACAGCGCUGGAACAAAGUGGGCUGUGUCAGCCAUGCCCAGGGCUACGGGAACUGAGGGGGAGGCAGCCAGAGGGUGACGGAGGCAGAAACCUCCCCACCAUCUAGCAGGUAAAAGCAAGUAAUAGGCAGUGGCCUGAGGAAGAGACUGCACCAGCAGGGGAAGUUCUGCUCUUACGUGUCAGAUUUGUGCAUUGCGGAUGGUUCAGUGUAGGGGAGAGGGAAGGACAGAGAGGUGCUGCGAGGCAGUGUAUCUGAGGCAGCCUCUGGCUUUGUAUUCGUGCCACCUCUCGCGCCGCUCUCGCUCUGGCACGCUCUAACUCCGCUCAAGGAGCAGCGCAAAGCAGCCAGAGAAGAUGCUGCCUGUAAAUAACGAGCCCAGGGUGUGCUGCGUAGAUUGAAGCACAAAAGGAAGAAGGCAGUGUGGGCUCACCGUGUGCACUGACAGUCUCCACUCCGCACCUUGAAUUUCAUAAGCCAUAUUUUUCUUACCGGCACUGCUGUACAACAAAGGCAGAGUGAGCAGGUUCCUUGGGAUCACAGGCAGCCCUCAAAGCAGCAUCUUUGCCAUGCAUAAUCAAAACCCAGCUCUUGUUAUUUGUUCACCACAAAGAAAAAGAAACUCCUGAAGCACUGUGAGGAGGAGGAAAGCGUGCGCGUACCUGUGUGUGUGUGGUGAUACGUGCUCUGGAGCCGGGAGCCACCCACAAUGGUGCUCCUCACGCUGCUGAGCAGGACCCCCGUGUGCCCCCCCAUGUAGGUGCAGAGCCCCCAGCGCUGUCAGGGAGCCGUGCGGCUGUGGGAGCUCUGCCUGCCUCUCCCCUGCACAGCCCCGGCUGCAGCCCGAGGAGCCGAUGAUUUAUUUAUGUGCAUUUGCAGUGUGCACAGCAGCUGCCCGCCCUGAGCCGAGGCACCCUGCCCGCGGUGCCCCGGAGCACGGCCAGGCUCUGCCCCGUGAUGUGCAGAGUGGGGGUGCUGUGCCCUGGCCGUGCCCCGAUGCCGCCCGUGAGCCGGGUGCUGCUGCCUGUUCCAAUGGGCUGCUCGGCAGUGCUGCCGACAACGUCCUCUGUUCCUUUAUUGCCAGAUUUUUCUUCUUGGCUUAGAUCAGCCUGGAACCAGUGUCAGAUGUUACAGCCUUACAGGGCAGCCGGCAAAGGCACUGCAGUCCCUGCUGGAGGCUGAACUCCAGCGCAGCAGGCCUGGUCCCCCAGCUUACCCUCUAACCUCACUGCCCAACAUUUGUCUGCGAUGGAACCACUCCUGAGGAGUGCAGGAGAAAGUGUUAGGCUCCCACCUUGCUGGGGACAGGAGGCCCAGCCAUAGGUGGCACGUGGCUGCUGGCUGACCUCACACCUCCCAGAGUAACCGGGGGCAGGGGAUUCCCAGCUGCUUCCAGCAGCUGCUGGCUGAGCACAUCCAUCACCUCUCAGGACCACACGCAAACGCAGGUGGAGGAGAGUGAGGCUGCCUUGGUGGCAUUCUGCUCCCAUAGCUGCAGGGAGGAAAGGAAAGCAGCAGCCCAGGCAGUCAGAGUGGUGCAGGCUUCCAGAGCAAUGGUGUCUCCAGCUCUGCCUCCUUCACAGCGGGCACCUGCAGCUUUCCUCCUGCGGUCCCUCUCAGCACAGAAUCCUCCCAAAACCCGUGUCAGGAGCCCAUGCAUGGAAGCUGUAAGCCCCAGGCUGGCAAGAGGAAAGCGUUUGCUCUGCAGCUUGGAGGCAGCACCCGUGCAGCCCCUCCGGCCCCGGCAGCGGAGGUAAAGUGUAGGAGUGGGGCUGCUCCACGUGUGAUCCCAGCGGAUGCAAUCAGCAACAGGAGUGCUUUCCAGACCCCAUGCUGAGCUGUAUUCAAAAUACAUUUGUACGAACAUCAAUUUUUAAUGCAAUUUAUGCCAAAUGUUGUUGCAAAAAGCAGCCGUUAACAUGACAUUAAUUCAAUCACUGGAAAUACAGUACGUGCUGCUAAAUGAAAACAUGUUAUUAGUCAAUUAAAUUAACUGGAUGUAACCCUUCCAAAUGCAAUGUAUUAUGGUUUCUACAUGGUUAAUUACGUUGUACAAAUUACAUGGCAAUAAGGGUUAGCGCUGGACACACACAUACCAUUAAUGUGCAGAAAAAAACCCAAAGCAAUUCACAGUUGAGCUCUGUAGAAAUAUAAAUAUCUUGCAAGCUUGAAAUAGAGGCAGAAUUAUGCUGGUGUUACAGUGGUAACGGGGCAAUUUCUAAAAGCAUCAGGAAAGCCUUUGCUGUGAGAUCACAGCUGCCGGCGGCCGCUUUCAUAAUGAGUUUUAAUCUGCUUUAAAAAGACCAUUUUAAUUUUGAGCAGAAAUUCUCCUGGUCGUGGUGAAGUCCCUCUCUCUGCAGGAAUCUCUCAGCGCCCACACAAGUGAUGACUGCUGCCUCCCCCUGUGUUUGUGUUUUGGGAUGAAUUUGUGCCCACUUGCAAGGAGUGGUGCCAGACGUUGGUGCCAGGAGCGGGCACUGAGCCUGGCAGAGCGCGGCGCUGCAGGCACUGCCUGCCCACGGCACAGCACGGGCAGUACUGCCAGCACCGGCGGGACGGCAGCACCGUACAGCUCUGCCGUGGGCUGCUUCCAGAUGGGCUCCACUGUGCAGCCCCUGGAAAUGGGGGGCUCCUUCCCAGGAAGGAGUCGUCUGUAUCUGUUUACAUAUCUCUGCUGUCAGGGAAUGGGCUCUGAAUUUCUCGGUCAAGACUGGAAUAAGUGUCUUACCUCUUCCCUGCCCUGGUGCUCUCCUGCUACUUUCCAGGUCUUCUCCCAUCCCGUCCCCUCCUCUACCAGCCCAGAUCACAGCGCUCACUUUGUUCAUGCUGUUCUGCUUCACAGGGAUGUGCCAGGUCCCUCCGGCCUCCCCAGGAGGUUCUUUGGCACAGCGGUUCUUCUCCCAGGCUGGGAAACGUGGACGGGCACUGCUGGGGCCAUUGUCACCCCGGGGUGCUGGGACAUGGCUAGUGGCUGCCCCUCGACUUGGGGACACUCAGGGCCCUGCAUUGCAGCAGCACGCAAUGCUCAGGCUACAAAUGGGCUCCAGCACAACUCGUGGAGCUCUGCAGGUGUGGGUGAGGGGGAAAAAGGAGCAGUAGUAAGGCGAUAAGUGAAACAGGAGGUGCAACACGUGGCCAUGGCCAGAAUGCAACAGGUGUGCAGCACCGCACAGGGAUGAUGGAGCAGCCCUCGCUGCACACAUCUCUGGGUACCAUUGCGGAGAAGGGGUUCUUAAGCAAAACCGGGGAGGCGCUGUGCAUAGCAGAGUGGACGGUGGGAUGCUUCAGUGCUGCAGGAUGCAGAGCCCGAGCAGUGCCUGUCCCAGAACAGCCCAUGCCAAGAGAGCGGUUCUUGCUCUGGGUGGGGUGCUGUGCCCCUUGGGUAGAUGAUGCUGAGCUGUGCGCCUCACGCCGGCCCCCACCGCCUCCCAUCCUUGGGGCGGGGGAUGAGCUGCAGUGCUGGAAGUCCACUGGUGAGUCUGGGGGUGAGAUUUAAUUUGACGUAACCACGGGGCAUGGCUGGGGAGCAGGCGGGGGCAGUGGAGGAUGGCUUAUUGGUUUCAGCGGGAGCACAGAACGAUGCGAGCAACCUCAGUGCUCCGCCGUCCAGAUACACACCAUCGCACUGUUGACUUAGCGGCAGCCGCUGACAGAGAGGAGUGAUAAAGCUCUUGGAGAUAUUCCUGUCUCAUCCGUCUCGUGUAAAUCAGAGGAAGGCUGCAGACAUCAGAGCAGACAAAAUGCAAAAGCAAUAAAAACCUCCCGACUCUCACUGAAGGCAGAGGCCGGUCUGACAUGACCACUGGCAACAGAAAGGCUUCACACGAGCAGGGAGUUGCUUACUUGAGGAAUUGUUGAUUAUUUAGUGGCUGCUUAGGGGGCUGGGAAGGAAAUCAAAGCUCCUGCUGUUCGCCGGCUGAUGAAAGGACGGCGCGCUGCCCCAUUGCAGCCCUUGUUUACCACCAGCUCUACCUGCUCCGAGGAGCUGGAGCGAUUUCUGACUGCUGCUCAGAAAUAAAAGGAGCCCAAGAAUCAAUCAUUUGUUUACAUUGUAUAACUUGUUGAAAAUCAAUUGGCUCCACAUGUUGCAGAUCUGAUUGCAUUUUGUUAGUGGUCACACGGAAUGGUUUUCCCGUGACGUGCCUAUAUUUGUGGUUUCUUCAAUGCAUCAAUUGUACCCAGCUUUUAGGAUAAUUGAGAAUGAGCAACAAUCCCCUUUAUAAAUAUUAACUCUGAUAUGCUUGGGAAGCUCCGUCUCUCUUGGAUGAAUUUUUAACUAGCUUUUUAAUCUAUCACCUCUCGUUAGAAAAGCAGGAGCGUUUCUUGCUGCCUGUUUUUGUACCUCUAGCACUGCUGCCCCUGACAGUCCUGUGCUUGGCUUUGGGCACGCUCAGGGCUCGUGCCGAGCUGCUGCAUGGGGCCAUCCUGGGCGUCCCAGCAUCCCCUUUAGAUUUUGCAAUGUGGUUUCGUACCACUUUGGGCACUGCCGUGCAUUUUCUUCACUCUCAAAUCUGUUCUUCAAGCUUCCCUUUGGGGAACCAAGGAGCGAGCAGCGCUCCGACUGCUGCAUGUGUCAGCCGUACAGCUGUGCCCAGGGCUGGAUGUGGCAACAGGCAGUUUCCAAGCAUGCAGCCCGGCUGUCCCUGCUCCACGUGCUUGCUGCUUCCCCCCUCUCCUUGCGCUGCUUUUUCUGCAGAGCAGCACAGCCCUUUUGCAACCUCACAUGUUUGUAUUUCAUAUCUGACUUCAGCAGACAGCUGCACUCUGUUGCUCUGCGGUUGGCCAUCUCCCUGCACACCAAACGUCAUCCCAGAGCUGGGGAAGCACUGCCGGCCCCUUCCUGCCCACCCCUGCCCUGGGACACCUCCUGCAGCACCGAGCUGGGCUCUGGGGCCAGGGCUGCUGCAGGGCUGUGGCUGCGGAGGGGACAAGGCCAUUGGGUCUGGGCAGAGUGGGCUGGCAGCGGUGGGCUGUGUGUGUACCCACCCACUUCUGGUUGGCUCCGCAGAGCAGCAGGUCAGGGCCCAACAGCUCCUGCCCGUCUCAAUUAAACUGUUUCCUUUCCCUCUCAAUCAGAGGUUGCCUUCUUUAAUAUCAUCUGAAAGUCUGUCAAACUGUGUAUUUUCUUGUGAAACCUCUAUGCAGAAAAAAGACAAAAGGAGAAAGGGAUGCUGUUCAAAUGAAAGCCCUACUUUACAUUUCAAAUACUUUGACAGGGCUUUCUCUUCUCUUUUUCUUGGAUCUUUAAUAAAAGCUUUUAAGAGAUACUCUUUUAAAAUGGUGAUUGCUUCCCAAGGGACGUGUC